CAGGCCAGUAAUUAAAAGAGUAAUUAGAGGAGGACUGAGAAGGAAGCUGUUUAGACCAUGCCAUAUUUCUUAGGCCCCAAGAAUCUUACAGAUGGACAGAUCUUCUCUUCAAAUCCUGCCGUUGCAGCCCAGAGAAAGAGACAGCCACUGGAGCAACACAUCCUCCUGAGGGAAAAUUCAGAAGACAAAUACUCCCUUCAACAAACAAGUCAGAUGACCCGUAAGUGAGGUGAACUCCAAGGCUAAGGUGGAUCCAGGGGCAGGACAAACUGUUCGCACGCCUAGCAUCUGUGGACUCUACCCUCCAAGCGCUUCCCCGGUCUUGUCGCGAGAACCAGAACCGUCGCUUUCAGGAACUCUCCAUACUACAGAAUCCAGAUAUUACUAUACCCAAAGUUAAAUCCAGCACCGGCUCUUAGCUGUUCUCACUCCAUCGAAAGUGCUCAUCCCAGAAUACAGAGCAAGAAUACUGGGAUAAAUAGCUUCUCCUUUGCAUUCUUCAUUGUUUAUAACUACAUAGAAUCCAUUGCAUCUGAGACAGUCUUCACAUCGGACUCAAGCUCAUUCUAUGAAAACUGCACUGUGUUUCUCUAGACACUAAACACUGACAGAACUAAGAGAUGCUAAUGGGUCCAGACAAGGAAGAGAAAAGCACACCGGAGUGUGGAGAGAGGUUGACCAACAUUGUCUUUCUCUUCUUGAACAUGUGGGAAGAGUAAAUUUCCAAACAUUCAGGGCAGUUAGGUGGGGACCCAUUACUGAGUUUUGGAAAGUGUGAGUUAGUUCAUCUAAGUGGCAUCCUCUGCUACCGGGCUGGGCCAACCAUCCCACUCCACAUCCAUCUUCUACACCCUGUCUCCAUGUGGUGUCCUGAAAGCAAAUAUCAUGAAACAGGAGAGCUAAAGAGUAGACUUCAAUAGGAAGAAGAGCUGUCAGACAGUGUUGUAUGACAUGAAAACAAGUCUAUAUAAACAGGCCAGAAAAAUGCUCUGUGCAAAGCCACUGGGAUUGUAGCUGUUAUAGAAGUGUGUCCCGUUUUGUCAUUGGUCUUGUGUCCCCAAUAUGCUGGAAUUUCAUCUCUAACUUAGUUAUUUUUCUAGUGAUAGCAGAAUAAUAAAGAUAGUUCAUCUUAAACAUGUGGCCUAUAAACGUGCUAGGAAACUGAUAUCUUAAGGGGUGACCCUUUUUUUAAAAAAAUAUUUUCUUUCUUCCUUCCUUCCUUCCUUGUUUGGUUUUGUUUUUUAAUGUUUUUGAAAAAUAAAGACGGAUGAAUAAUGUAGUGUACACACUUUUUGUAUGGAUUGUGAGUACAAUAAUUUUAUCUGUAAGUAGCCUUAGUGCUUGAACCACUAAAUUCAUUAAAU